rnacentral:misc_RNA from 1 species
AAGUCGUAACAAGGUUUCCGUAGGUGAACCUGCGGAAGGAUCAUUAUUGAAUUAUGUUUUCUAGAUGGGUUGUAGCUGGCUCUUCGGAGUAUGUGCACGCCUGUCUGGACUUCAUUUUCAUCCACCUGUGCACCUUUUGUAGUCUUUUUCAGGUAUUGGAGGAAGUGGUCAGCCUAUCAGCUCUUUGCUGGAUGUAAGGACUUGCAGUGUGAAAACAGUGCUGUCCUUUACCUUGGCCAUGGAAUCUUUUUCCUGUUAGAGUCUAUGUUAUUCAUUAUACUCUUAGAAUGUCAUUGAAUGUCUUUACAUGGGCUAUGCCUAUGAAAAUUAUUAUACAACUUUCAGCAACGGAUCUCUUGGCUCUC